rnacentral:rRNA from 1 species
GACGAACGCUGGCGGCGUGCUUAACACAUGCGAGUCGAACGAUGAAGCGGGUGCUUGCACUCGUGGAUUAGUGGCGAACGGGCGAGUAACACGUGAGUAACCUGUCCUUUUCUUUGGGAUAACGGCUGGAAACGGCUGCUAAUACUGGAUAUUCAGGCUGCAUCGCAUGGUGUGGUUUGGAAAGGUUUUUUCUGGGAUUGGGUGGGCUCGCGGCCUAUCAGCUUGUUGGUGGGGUGAUGGCUUACCAAGGCUUUGACGGGUAGCCGGCCUGAGAGGGUGGUCGGUCGCACUGGGACUGAGAUACGGCCCAGACUCCUACGGGAGGCAGCAGUGGGGAAUAUUGCACAAUGGACGAAAGUUUGAUGCAGCGACGCCGCGUGGAGGGUGUAGGCCUUCGGGUUGUGAACUCCUUUUUCUCGCGAAAAAGGCACAGUUUUGGCUGUGUUGAUGGUAGUGGGGGAAGAAGCGCCGGCUAACUACGUG